rnacentral:rRNA from 1 species
GCUUACCAUGCAAGUCGAGCGGUAACAGGGGGUGCUUGCACCCCGCUGACGAGCGGCGGACGGGUGAGUAAUGCAUAGGAAUCUGCCCAGUAGUUGGGGAUAGCCCGGGGAAACCCGGAUUAAUACCGAAUACGCCCUACGGGGGAAAGCAGGGGAUCUUCGGACCUUGCGCUAUUGGAUGAGCCUAUGUCGGAUUAGCUAGUUGGUGGGGUAACGGCCUACCAAGGCGACGAUCCGUAGCUGGUCUGAGAGGAUGAUCAGCCACAUCGGGACUGAGACACGGCCCGAACUCCUACGGGAGGCAGCAGUGGGGAAUAUUGGACAAUGGGGGCAACCCUGAUCCAGCCAUGCCGCGUGGGUGAAGAAGGCUUUCGGGUUGUAAAGCACUUUCCGUGAGGAGGAAAACCUUAAGGUUAAUACCCUUGAGGCUUGACGUUACUCACAGAAGAAGCACCGGCUAACUCCGUGCCAGCAGCCGCGGUAAUACGGAGGGUGCAAGCGUUAAUCGGAAUUACUGGGCGUAAAGCGCGCGUAGGUGGUUCGAUAAGCGAGAUGUGAAAGCCCCGGGCUUAACCUGGGAACGGCAUUUCGAACUGUCGGGCUAGAGUGUGGUAGAGGGUAGUGGAAUUUCCUGUGUAGCGGUGAGAUGCGUAGAUAUAGGAAGGAACACCAGUGGCGAAUGCGGCUACCUGGACCAACACUGACACUGAGGUGCGAGAGCGUGGGGAGCAAACGGGAUUAGAUCCCUGGUAGUCCACCGCCGUAAACGAUGUCAACUAGCCGUUGGGGAUCUUGAAUCCUUAGUGGCGCAGCUCACGCACUAAGUUGACCGCCUGGGGAGUACGGCCGCAAGGUUAAAACUCAAAUGAAUUGACGGGGGCCCGCACAAGCGGUGGCGCAUGUGGUUUAAUUCGACGCAACGCGAAGAACCUUACCUGGCCUUGACAUCCUGCGAACUUUCUAGAGAUAGAUUGGUGCCUUCGGGAACGCAGUGACAGGUGCUGCAUGGCCGUCGUCAGCUCGUGUCGUGAGAUGUUGGGUUAAGUCCCGUAACGAGCGCAACCCCUAUCCCUAGUUGCUAGCAGUUCGGCUGAGAACUCUAGGGAGACUGCCGGUGACAAACCGGAGGAACGUGGGGAUGACGUCAGGUCAUCAUGGCCCUUACGGCCAGGGCUACACACGUGCUACAAUGGCGCGCACAGAGGGCUGCAAACUCGCGAGGGUAAGCCAAUCUCUUAAAACGCGUCGUAGUCCGGAUCGCAGUCUGCAACUCGACUGCGUGAAGUCGGAAUCGCUAGUAAUCGCGAAUCAGAAUGUCGCGGUGAAUACGUUCCCGGGCCUUGUACACACCGCCCGUCACACCAUGGGAGUGGAUUGCACCAGAAGUGGUUAGUCUAACCUUCGGGAGGACGAUCACCAC